rnacentral:lncRNA from 1 species
CCUCGUUCAAUUUCUGCUGCAUUGGGGUCAUAUAUUUUGAUUUUUUGGGAGAAAUGCCACUUUUUCUACUUAGCUUUAGUUUAGGGGAUGCAACAUCGUCAUCUUCAGGCAGUGGUCCAAGUUCUUUCCUUUUUUCUUUGAGGAUCUUUUCCAGCAUGUGGGCAUCAUUGUAAACCUGGGAGCCUUCCUCGUUAUAAUGCCUUGCAUUUCGGAACAUGAGCUUCAUAUCGUCAAUCAUGGCUUCUUCCCCUACAUACUUAUCAUUACGGAUGUUGUGUUCUAUCAUUUUCAAGUCCAUUGGCUCUAAGAUAAUUUUAUAGUAAUCUGGAUAGUCCUUUUUGGAUGGCUUAACCAUAAACAGAUCGCAAAGCCGUCUGCCUGUGCCUGAUUCUCGAGCUUCUAGAACUGCAUUGUACAAGAUCUUCAUUCGUUGCUUUCGCAUGUUCUUUUUACUUUUCCUUUUGGAGCUUCCAGUAUCAGAUGUAGCAGAAGAAAUCAUACUGUCCCCAUCCUCAAUGUCA